rnacentral:rRNA from 1 species
UACGAAGGUCCCAAGCGUUGUUCGGAAUCACUGGGCGUAAAGGGAGCGUAGGCGGCGUGGUAAGUCAGAUGUGAAAUCCCGGGGCUCAACCCCGGAACUGCAUCCGAUACUGCCAUGCUUGAGGGUUGGAGAGGUGACUGGAAUUAUCGGUGUAGCAGUGAAAUGCGUGGAUAUCGAUAGGAACACUCGUGGCGAAGGCGAGUCACUGGACAACAUCUGACGCUGAGGCUCGAAGGCUAGGGUAGCGAAAGGG